GGCUCAAUAACAAGUAGCGACUUAACCAAAGAUCUGGAAAACUGGGAAACUAGGGUAACCAUGCUAGACCAAGAUGCUGGAGAGUUUUGAUUAAAUAUAUAUGACCUUUGAUUGGACUGGUCCGAUCAGGCAAUUGUUGAGGAAUGGCCCACCAAACCUAUAACCGGUACGGAAUCUGAGAGGUGGAGCCCGGAGAUGGGUACUGAGAAAAGGACGCAGGCCGUAUGGGGCGCAGCAGGCGCGAAACUUCUGCAAUAGGCGAAAGCCUGACAGGGUUACUAUGAGUAACUCUCGUUAAGAAAGUCUUUGGACACCUAUAAGAACGAUGUCGAAUAUGGGGUGGGCAAGUGUGGUGUCAGCCGCCGCCGUAAUAUCAGCACCCUGAGUGGUGGGAACGAUUAUGAGGCUUAAAGCAUCAGUAGCCGGCCUUACAAGUCCUCCGGUAAAUCCAGCUGAUUAACAGAUGGGUAGCGGAGGAUCAUAUAAGACUGUGAGGCAGGAGAGGCAAGCCGUACUCAGUGGGUAGGGGUAAAAUCUGCAGAUCCAUUGAAGUCCCCCAGCGGCGAAGGCGGCUUGCCAGAAGGCGGAUGGCGGUGAGCGUUGAAAGCUGGGGGAGCAAACGGGGAAAGGAUGACUGGGGUAGUACCAGAUGUAAUUGAGGCAGACUAGGUGAUGGACCAUCUUAAUGCUAGUAAAGGGCGGCCGGGAAGCCGUAAAGUGAGUCGCUAUGGGUAGUAACGGUGGCAAGACGUGAAAAUGAAAGGAAUCGGCGGGGGAGCAGCGCAAGGGGGGAAGCCUGCGGAUCA
rnacentral:rRNA from 1 species